CCAUAUAAUUAUAUGACAGCAUCUCAAAUUGAGAUGUUUCUGCAUUUAAUAAUUUCUGAGGCGUAUUAUGUAUCUUUAUGAUGUAUCAAGUAUAUAUGAUGUAUAGUGUAUUUGUAAUAUUGAAAUAUUCGAUAAAGCCCUCCGAAGGGGCCUUAAAAAAAGCGGCGACGCAAAAACGGAACAUUCGCGCGCGAAUAUGUUCUCGCGUUUUUCGAAUUUUAUCAAAACGUCGAAAAUGUGAAAGUUAAAACCCGGACGUCGCCGCACGUCGCGAACAAGAAACGUAACGCGAGUGUGUUUCUAAACUUCUCGAAAAAAAAGUAACGCGAGUGCAAGUGUUUCGAAGCUUUUACGAGAGGAGGAGGAGGCCUGGGAUGGCAUCGAACAACGGCGGAACAACUACAUGUUUACAACUUGGUUUACGUUGCUGUGUAUCGGUUUGGGAAGUGCAUUUUGGCGACUUAGCGUCUUAUGG